rnacentral:rRNA from 1 species
CACGUAGGGCGCAAGCGUUGUCCGGAAUUAUUGGGCGUAAAGAGCUCGUAGGCGGUCUGUUGCGUCCGCUGUGAAAACUCGGGGCUUAACCCCGAGCCUGCAGUGGAUACGGGCAGACUAGAGGUAGGUAGGGGAGAAUGGAAUUCCCGGUGUAGUGGUGGAAUGCGUAGAUAUCGGGAGGAAUACCGAUGGCGAAGGCAGGUCUCUGGGCUGACACUGACGCUCAUGCACGAAAGCGUGGGAGCAAACAGG